rnacentral:tRNA from 1 species
GGUUUUAUAGUGUAGUGGCUAGCACUCGGGAUUCUGACCACCGGACUGGUGCAGCAGUCCGUGACGAAUUCCCGCAACCCCGGUUCGAUCCCGGGUAAGACCU